UCUGAUGGCACAAAUGUAAGAAAAAUCAAUAAACAAACGCCUGCCUCAACUAACUGUGAAUGUAUCUUAAUACUUUGCGAGAGUAUCUUAAGACACAAAGAAGUCUUUGUUCUGCUCCACAAUACUUUUUCCCUGGUAGGUGUGUAGAUGG